rnacentral:rRNA from 1 species
AAAGCGCGCGUAGGUGGUUUGUUAAGUUGGAUGUGAAAUCCCCGGGCUCAACCUGGGAACUGCAUUCAAAACUGACUGACUAGAGUAUGGUAGAGGGUGGUGGAAUUUCCUGUGUAGCGGUGAAAUGCGUAGAUAUAGGAAGGAACACCAGUGGCGAAGGCGACCACCUGGACUAAUACUGACACUGAGGUGCGAAAGCGUGGGGAGCAAACAGGAUUAGAUACCCCGGU